GACGACGCUGGCGGCGCGCCUAACACAUGCAAGUCGAACGAGCGAGAGAGAGCUUGCUUUCUCGAGCGAGUGGCGAACGGGUGAGUAACGCGUGAGGAACCUGCCUCAAAGAGGGGGAUAACAGUUGGAAACGACUGCUAAUACCGCAUAAGCCCACGGUGCCGCAUGGCACAGAGGGAAAAGGAGUGAUCCGCUUUGAGAUGGCCUCGCGUCCGAUUAGCUAGCUGGUGAGGUAAUGGCCCACCAAGGCGACGAUCGGUAGCCGGACUGAGAGGUUGAACGGCCACAUUGGGACUGAGACACGGCCCAGACUCCUACGGGAGGCAGCAGGUGGGGAAUAUUGCACAAUGGGGGGAACCCUGAUGCAGCGACGCCGCGUGGAGGAAGAAGGUCUUCGGAUUGUAAACUCCUGUUGUUGGGGAAGAUAAUGACGGUACCCAACAAGGAAGUGACGGCUAACUACGUG
rnacentral:rRNA from 1 species